GCAGACGUCCCGGGCGCACUGUUGGCACGGAGCACUAGCCCCUGAAGUUCAGAGAGUCAAUCUUGGCGCAUUGCUGGCGCAUCACACCAGCCCUUGCUGGCGUACUGCUGGCGCACUGCUGGCGCGCCACACCACCCUCCCCCUAGAACGUUUCCGACAAAUUUUUCUACUCGUUUUCUAACCUUAAUUAGAUUAGAUUUGAUUAUUUUUCUCAAUUUCUCUUUAGAUUAAGUUACCCAAUACAUGUACACAAGAAUCUACUCAAAAACAACUCUUAAAAUUGAUAUGAUUAUCUCAAUAACUCAUCAAUCCCAUCCUAAUUCA
rnacentral:lncRNA from 1 species